GUGAGGAAUAUUGGUCAAUGGGCGGGAGCCUGAACCAGCCAAGUCGCGUGAAGGAAGAAGGAUCUAUGGUUCGUAAACUUCUUUUGCAGGGGAAUAAAGUGCAGGACGUGUCCUGUUUUGUAUGUACCCUGAGAAUAAGGAUCGGCUAACUCCGUGCCAGCAGCCGCGGUAAUACGGAGGAUCCGAGCGUUAUCCGGAUUUAUUGGGUUUAAAGGGUGCGUAGGUGGUAUGAUAAGUCAGCGGUGAAAGUUUGCAGCUUAACUGUAAAAAUGCCGUUGAAACUGUCGGACUUGAGUGUAAAUGAGGUAGGCGGAAUGCGUGGUGUAGCGGUGAAAUGCAUAGAUAUCACGCAGAACUCCGAUUGCGAAGGCAGCUUACUAAGCUACAACUGACACUGAAGCACGAAAGCGUGGGGAUCAAACAGGAUUAGAAACCCGGGUAGUCC
rnacentral:rRNA from 1 species